AGUCAGUACGUGCAGGCCCGAAACCGGGUGACCUAUCCAUGUCCAGGUUGAAGCCGCCGUAAAAGGCGAUGGAGGACCGAACCCACAUCCGUUGAAAAGGGUGGGGAUGAGGUGUGGAUAGCGGAGAAAUUCCAAUCGAACCCGGAGAUAGCUGGUUCUCCUCGAAAUAGCUUUAGGGCUAGCCUCAUACAAGUCUGCCGGAGGUAGAGCACUGAAUUUCCGCGGGGGCGUCAAAGCCUACCAAAGAAUAUCAAACUCCGAAUGCCGGACAGAUGGUGUAUGGGAGUCAGACUGUACGAGAUAAGUUGGACAGUCAAAAGGGAAAGAGCCCAGACCGCCGGCUAAGGUCCCAAAGUGGGUGUUAAGUGGAAAAGGAUGUGGGAUCUCUAAGACAACCAGGAUGUUGGCUCAGAAGCAGCCAUUCAUUAAAAGAGUGCGUAACAGCUCACUGGUCGAGAGGUCCUGCGCCGAAAAUGUCCGGGGCUGAAACACCACACCGAAGCCGCGGAACUCGUAAGAGUUGGUAGAGGAGCAUUCUUAGGGGAGGGAAGCAUUACCGGAAGGGGAUGUGGACUGCUAAGAAGAGAGAAUGCCGGAAUGAGUAGCGAGAGCAAGGUGAGAAUCCUUGCGGCCGAAUAUCCAAGGUUUCCAGAGUAAAGCUGAUCUGCUCUGGGUAAGUCGGGGCCUAAGGAGAGGCAGAGAUGCGUAUCCGAUGGACAGCAGGUAAAAGAUUCCUGCACCCCUUGUUAUCAGAACUGCGGGGACACGGGAAGGGAAGCAGAGCCGGGAAUGGAAAGCCCGGUGCAAGCGAAGUAGUCGCAGGAUUGGAAAAUCCGUCCUGCGUAAGACGAAGGCGUGAUGCGGAGCGAAACAAAGUAGCGAAGCUGCGGCCCCUUCCUGUCGAGAAAAGCCGCUAUCGUGUAGCAAGGGCCCGUACCGUAAACCGACACAGGUGGAUGAGGAGAGGAUCCUAAGGCCGGCGGGAGAAGUGUUGUUAAGGAACUCGGCAAAAUGACUCCGUAACUUCGGGAGAAGGAGUGCUGCGCAAGCAGCCGCAGAGAAAUGGCCCAAGCAACUGUUUAGCAAAAACACAGGUCUAUGCGAAACCGAAAGGUGAGGUAUAUGGGCUGACGCCUGCCCGGUGCUGGAAGGUUAAGGGGAGAGCUUAGCGCAAGCGAAGGUUUGAACUUAAGCCCCAGUAAACGGCGGCCGUAACUAUAACGGUCCUAAGGUAGCGAAAUUCCUUGUCGGGUAAGUUCCGACCCGCACGAAAGGCGUAAUGAUUUGGGCACUGUCUCAACAACACACCCGGUGAAAUUGAAAUACCAGUGAAGAUGCUGGUUACCCGCGCCAGGACGGAAAGACCCCAUGGAGCUUUACUCCAGCCUGAUACUGGGAUUCGGUAUUGCAUGUACAGGAUAGGUGGGAGGCUAAGAACUUAUGGCGCCAGCCGUAAGGGAGCCGGUGUUGGGAUACCACCCCUGCAGUACUGGGUUUCUAACCUGCGCCCGUGACCCGGGCGGGGGACAAUGUCAGGCGGGGAGUUUGACUGGGGCGGUCGCCUCCGAAAGGGUAUCGGAGGCGCUCAAAGGUCUCCUCAGGAUGGUUGGAAACCAUCCAGAGAGUGCAAAGGCAGAAGGAGGCUUGACUGCGACACCGACGGGUGGAGCAGGUACGAAAGUAGGACUUAGUGAUCCGGUGGCAUAACGUGGGAUUGCCAUCGCUCAACGGAUAAAAGCUACCCUGGGGAUAACAGGCUUAUCACUCCCAAGAGUUCACAUCGACGGAGUGGUUUGGCACCUCGAUGUCGGCUCAUCGCAUCCUGGAGCUGGAGCAGGUUCCAAGGGUUGGGCUGUUCGCCCAUUAAAGCGGUACGCGAGCUGGGUUCAGAACGUCGUGAGACAGUUCGGUCCCUAUCCGGCGCGGGCGCAGGAUAUCUGAGAGGAGCUGUCCUUAGUACGAGAGGACCGGGAUGGACCGUCCGCUGGUGGACCGGUUGUCAUGCCAAUGGCACGGCCGGGUAGCCAAGACGGGAAGGGAUAAACGCUGAAGGCAUCUAAGCGUGAAGCC
rnacentral:rRNA from 1 species